GGUUUUAGGCGGCGAAGCCUCUCGGCAGCACCUCCUUCCUUCUUUGCCAGGCAGACGCCCGUUGUAGCCGUUGGGGAACCGUUGAGAAUCCGAAAGCCCGCUUAUCUACCAUUUUAUUUACUGACAACUGUGAAGUAUCCCAUGACCAGCUGUGUGAAUUGCUGAAGUAUGCAGUUCUGGGCAAAUCCAAUGUUCCAAAACCCAGGGAAUGAGUCAGCUACACUUUUACAGGUUCUAUUUGGAGUUUGGAUGUCUUCGAAAAGCAUUCAGACAUAAAUUCCGCUUGCCUCCACCAUCAUCUGAUUUUCUAGCUGAUGUUGUUGGGCUACAAACUGAACAAAGAGCUGGAGAUCUGCCCAAGACAAUGGAAGAGCCUUUACCUUCUAAUGCAAAAGCCGCCAUCAACCUUCAGGAUGAUCCCAUCAUUCAAAAGUAUGGCUCUAAGAAAGUGGGCUUGACCAGAUGCCUUCUGACAAAGGAGGAAAUGAGAACGUUUCACUUUCCAUUACAAGUGCCUCACAUCCAAGGGGAGAGAGCUAACACGCAUCUCACUGGUUGCUGAAGGAGGCUGCUGUGU
rnacentral:sRNA from 1 species